rnacentral:rRNA from 1 species
UGUGCAAUAUUCCCCACUGCUGCCUCCCGUAGGAGUCUGGGCCGUGUCUCAGUCCCAGUGUGGCCGGUCGCCCUCUCAGGCCGGCUACCCGUCGACGCCUUGGUAGGCCAUUACCCCACCAACAAGCUGAUAGGCCGCGAGCCCAUCCCCCACCGAAAAACUUUCCAACACCCACCAUGCGGCAAGUGUUCAUAUCCGGUAUUAGACCUCGUUUCCAAGGCUUAUCCCGAAGUAGGGGGCAGGUUGCUCACGUGUUACUCACCCGUUCGCCACUGAUCCACCCAGCAAGCUGAGCUUCACCGUUCGACUUGCAUGUGUUAAGCACGCCACCAGCGUUCGUCCUGAGCCAGGAUCAAACU